AACGUAGGGGACAAGCGUUAUCCGGAUUUACUGGGCGUAAAGCGCCCGUAGGCGGCUUUGUAAGUUGGACGUGAAAGCUCCCGGCUUAACUGGGAGAGGCCGUUCAAAACUGUAGAGCUAGAGUGAGGCAGAGGAGUGCGGAAUUCCUGGUGUAGUGGUGGAAUGCGUAGAUAUCGGGAGGAACACCAGUGGCGAAAGCGGCACUCUGGGCCUAAACUGACGCUGAGGGGCGAAAGCGUGGGGAGCGAACGGG
rnacentral:rRNA from 1 species